rnacentral:rRNA from 1 species
UAGGGAAUCUUCCACAAUGGACGCAAGUCUGAUGGAGCAACGCCGCGUGAGUUGAAGAAGGUCUUCGGAUCGUAAAACUCUGUUGUUAGAGAAGAACACGAGUGAGAGUAACUGUUCAUUCGAUGACGGUAUCUAACCAGCAAGUCACGGCUAACUACGUGCCAG